rnacentral:rRNA from 1 species
UAGGAAUCUACGUGUAGUGGGGACAACGUCUCGAAAGGGACGCUAAUACCGCAUACGUCCUACGGGAGAAAAGCAAGGGGGACCCUUCGGGCCUUGCGCUAUCAGAUGAGCCUAGGUCGGAUUAGCUAGUUGGUGAGGUAAUGGCUCACCAAGGCGACGAUCCGUAACUGGUCUGAGAGGAUGAUCAGUCACACUGGAACUGAGACACGGUCCAGACUCCUACGGGAGGCAGCAGUGGGGAAUAUUGGACAAUGGGCGAAAGCCUGAUCCAGCCAUGCCGCGUGUGUGAAGAAGGUCUUCGGAUUGUAAAGCACUUUAAGUUGGGAGGAAGGGUUGUAGAUUAAUACUCUGCAAUUUGACGUUACCGACAGAAUAAGCACCGGCUAACUCUGUG